rfam:Candidatus Firestonebacteria bacterium RIFOXYA2_FTLL_40_8 rifoxya2_full_scaffold_1373, whole genome shotgun sequence.
GCCGGGGUGGUGAAAUAGGUAGACACAAGGGACUUAAAAUCCCUCGGUCGCAAGGCCAUGGCGGUUCGAUUCCGCCCCCCGGCA